AUUGAACGCUGGCGGCAGGCCUAACACAUGCAAGUCGAGCGGGGUUUUCGGACCUAGCGGCGGACGGGUGAGUAAUGCGUAGGAAGCUACCCGAUAGAGGGGGAUGCCAGUUGGAAACGACUGUUAAUACCGCAUAAUGUCUACGGACCAAAGUGUGGGACCUUCGGGCCACAUGCUAUCGGAUGCGCCUACGUGGGAUUAGCUAGUUGGUGGGGUAAUGGCUCACCAAGGCGACGAUCCCUAGCUGGUUUGAGAGGAUGAUCAGCCACACUGGAACUGAGACACGGUCCAGACUCCUACGGGAGGCAGCAGUGGGGAAUAUUGGACAAUGGGCGCAAGCCUGAUCCAGCCAUGCCGCGUGUGUGAAGAAGGCCUUCGGGUUGUAAAGCACUUUCAGUAGGGAGGAAGGGUGUUGUGUUACUAGCACAGCAUUUUGACGUUACCUACAGAAGAAGCACCGGCUAACUCUGUGCCAGCCGCCGCCGUAAUAC
rnacentral:rRNA from 1 species